GAUGGACGCUGGCGGCGUGCCUAAUACAUGCAAGUCGAGCGAACGGACGAGAAGCUUGCUUCUCUGAUGUUAGCGGCGGACGGGUGAGUAACACGUGGAUAACCUACCUAUAAGACUGGGAUAACUUCGGGAAACCGGAGCUAAUACCGGAUAAUAUUUUGAACCGCAUGGUUCAAAAGUGAAAGACGGUCUUGCUGUCACUUAUAGAUGGAUCCGCGCUGCAUUAGCUAGUUGGUAAGGUAACGGCUUACCAAGGCAACGAUGCAUAGCCGACCUGAGAGGGUGAUCGGCCACACUGGAACUGAGACACGGUCCAGACUCCUACGGGAGGCAGCAGUAAGGAAUCUUCCGCAAUGGGCGAAAGCCUGACGGAGCAACGCCGCGUGAGUGAUGAAGGUCUUCGGAUCGUAAAACUCUGUUAUUAGGGAAGAACAUAUGUGUAAGUAACUGUGCACAUCUUGACGGUACCUAAUCAGAAAGCCACGGCUAACUACGUG
rnacentral:rRNA from 1 species